rnacentral:rRNA from 1 species
UACGUAGGGGGCAAGCGUUGUCCGGAAUUAUUGGGCGUAAAGCGCGCGCAGGCGGUUGUUUAAGUCUGGGGUUUAAAUUCGGGGCUCAACCCCGUAUCGCCCUGGAAACUGGGAACUGGAGUGUAGGAGAGGAAAGUGGAAUUCCACGUGUAGCGGUGAAAUGCGUAGAGAUGUGGAGGAACACCAGUGGCGAAGGCGACUUUCUGGCCUAUAACUGACGCUGAGGCGCGAAAGCGUGGGGAGCAAACAGG